GAUCCUGGCUCAGGAUGAACGCUAGCUACAGGCUUAACACAUGCAAGUCGAGGGGCAGCAGGACGAUAGCUUGCUAUUGUUGCUGGCGACCGGCGCACGGGUGAGUAACGCGUAUCCAACCUUCCCCUUAGUAGGGCAUAGCCCGGUGAAAAUCGGAUUAAUACCCUAUGUUGUGUCAUGAGGACAUCUGAAUAACACUAAAGAUUUAUCGCUAAGGGAUGGGGAUGCGUCCGAUUAGGUAGUCGGCGGGGUAACGGCCCACCGAGCCCUCGAUCGGUAGGGGUUCUGAGAGGAAGGUCCCCCACACUGGUACUGAGACACGGACCAGACUCCUACGGGAGGCAGCAGUGAGGAAUAUUGGUCAAUGGGCGUAAGCCUGAACCAGCCAAGUAGCCGUGCAGGAUGACGGCCCUAUGGGUUGUAAACUGCUUUUAUACGGGGAUAAAGUGAGGGACGUGUCCCUUAUUGUAGGUACCGUAUGAAUAAGGACCGGCUAAUUCCGUGCCAGCAGCCGC
rnacentral:rRNA from 1 species